ACAGCUCAGCGGUUGAACACUCGCUUCACAAGCGAUAGGUCGGUGGUUCGAACCCACUAAUG
rnacentral:tRNA from 1 species